CGCGGGGUGGAGCAGCUCGGUAGCUCGCUGGGCUCAUAACCCAGAGGUCCUUGGUUCAAAUCCAUGCCCCGCUACCA
rnacentral:tRNA from 1 species